UGUUGUCAAAGUCUUGUUUCCUUUUUGGGCAAUAGGCCUGUGGCCCUUGGGUCCUACAAGGUCCCACUGGGCUAUGUUUUCUGGCAUGCAGGCAACUAUAGGAACAUUGACAGAAUGUUCCAGGUUAAAAAAAAAAUGUUAAGGCUUCAUCAAACACCCUCACUCUUUCAGAAAUGUUCUCAAAAUGACACACCUUGUCACCAGGCUUUCUCCGGGCAAAUUGGUGACUUGUGUUUGGGCCACCGUGUUCUGAUCAUCACGUGCUCCACACUUUGGAAAGAGAUAUAAGAUCAUGGAACAUGGAAGGCCCGGGAAACCCCAAAACUGAGAGGCUCAUUCAUUCAUGGUUGCUGCUACUUCUAGAUCCUGCCUGGCUUUCCUGGAGGGCAGGAUAAAACCCCAAACUCCUAAAUCUGCCCUUCAGAGUCACUCACAGUUAGUUCCAUUCUUGCUCCGUGGCGUGGUGUGUCAUUAAGAGGGCGUACGAUGUCACUGCAAGGAUUUCAGGCCAGAGGCUGGCCUCUUUUAUUCAGCAGGUGCACCCAGAACUGAGCAGGCUCCGAAAACAAGCCAUGAGACGGCACUUCUGCAAUCUCGCCACUAGAUGGGGCCACAGGACCUCUGGAAAAACCCACCCUUUCCUGUUGCUGGUCCUGCAAGGCCAGCUGCCUCCUGGUCACCAGCCCCGGGAUCCACAGGUUUCCAGGCUGUGCCCCGCCCCGAGAGACAACAGAUACCGUAAUUAAAAGAAGUUCAUUAAGCCA